GAUGAACGCUGGCGGCGUGCCUAAUACAUGCAAGUCGAGCGAAUGGAUUAAGAGCUUGCUCUUAUGAAGUUAGCGGCGGACGGGUGAGUAACACGUGGGUAACCUGCCCAUAAGACUGGGAUAACUCCGGGAAACCGGGGCUAAUACCGGAUAACAUUUUGAACCGCCAGGUUCGAAAUUGAAAGGCGGCUUCGGCUGUCACUUAUGGAUGGAUCCGCGUCGCAUUAGCUAGUUGGUGAGGUAACGGCUCACCAAGGCAACGAUGCGUAGCGGACCUGAGAGGGUGAUCGGCCACACUGGGACUGAGACACGGCCCAGACUCCUACGGGAGGCAGCAGUAGGGAAUCUUCCGCAAUGGACGAAAGUCUGACGGGGCAACGCCGCGUGAGUGAUGAAGGCUUUCGGGUCGUAAAACUCUGUUGUUAGGGAAGAACAAGUGCUAGUUGAAUAAGCUGGCACCUUGACGGUACCUAACCAGAAAGCCACGGCUAACUACGUGCCAGCAGCCGCCGUAA
rnacentral:rRNA from 1 species